rnacentral:rRNA from 1 species
AUUAACGCUAGCGGCAGGCAUAAUACAUGCAAGUUGAACGGCAGCACAGGUAGCAAUACCGGGUGGCGAGUGGCGCACGGGUGCGUAACACGUAUGCAACCUACCCUAUACAGGCGAAUAACCUUUAGAAAUGAGGGCUAAUACGCCGUGGUAUUAUCUUGGGGCAUCUCGAGAUAAUUAAAGAUUUAUCGGUAUAGGAUGGGCAUGCGUCCCAUUAGUUAGUUGGUAGGGUAACGGCCUACCAAGGCUAUGAUGGGUAGGGG